rnacentral:siRNA from 1 species
CAGUCUUGCGAACAUCUGCCU